AACGAACGCUGGCGGCAUGCCUAACACAUGCAAGUCGAACGAGACCUUCGGGUCUAGUGGCGCACGGGUGCGUAACGCGUGGGAACCUGCCCUUAGGUUCGGAAUAACUCCCCGAAAGGGGUGCUAAUACCGGAUAAUGUCUUCGGACCAAAGAUUUAUCGCCUUUGGAUGGGCCCGCGUUGGAUUAGCUAGUUGGUAGGGUAAAAGCCUACCAAGGCGACGAUCCAGAGCUGGUCUGAGAGGAUGAUCAGCCACACUGGGACUGAGACACGGCCCAGACUCCUACGGGAGGGAGCAGUGGGGAAUAUUGGACAAUGGGCGAAAGCCUGAUCCAGCAAUGCCGCGUGAGUGAUGAAGGCCUUAGGGUUGUAAAGCUCUUUUACCCGGGAUGAUAAUGACAGUACCGGGAGAAUAAGCACCGGCUAACUCCGUG
rnacentral:rRNA from 1 species